CCCUUAGAUGUUCUGGGCCGCACGCGCGCUACACUGCUGCAUUCAACGAGUUUCUUCCUGGUCCGAGAGGAAUGGGUAACCUUUUGAAAGUGCAUCGUGAUAGGGAUAGACUAUUGCAAUUAUUGGUCUUCAACGAGGAAUUCCUAGUAGACGUAGUUCAUCAGACUGCAUCGAUUACGUCCCUGCCCUUUGUACACACCGCCCGUCGCUCCUACCGAUUGAAUGCUCAGGUGAGCCAUUCGGACUUUCAUCAUGCUGGUUUCCAGUUUUGAUGAAGGAAAGUCUUGCGAACCUUAUCAUUUAGAGGAAGGAGAAGUCGUAACA
rnacentral:rRNA from 1 species